UACGUAGGUGGCAAGCGUUGUCCGGAAUUAUUGGGCGUAAAGGGUGUGUAGGUGGCCAUGUUAGUCGCUUGUUAAAACCUCGGGCUCAACCCGAGAUGUGCGAGCGAAACGGCACAGCUAGAGGAUGCGAGAGAUGUAUGGAACUCAUGGAGUAGGGGUUAAAUCCGUUGAUAUCAUGGGGAACACCAAAAGCGAAGGCAGUACAUUGGCGCACUCCUGACACUGAAACACGAAAGCGUGGGUAGCGAAUGGG
rnacentral:rRNA from 1 species